rnacentral:lncRNA from 1 species
AAAAUUAAUAAUUUUAAUGGCCGUGGUGAGCCGUUUGUAAGUUUAACGGUGUAGAAAUAUCCAAAUCACAUAAAAUUUUGAUAGAAAAUUCUUUAUACCAUAUUAUAAAACAAGAUCAAUAACAUUGAUCUAAAAUUUAAUGUAAUAUUAUCAUAUUUUGUAAGAUUUUUAUUUUCAGCUGUUAAUUUUGAGCCACUUCGAUCACUAGGCAAAUGAUAUCGAAAAAUCGCAAAAUUUAUUUUUCUAGAUACUUUAAAUACUCUAGAUCAAGUCUAACGGAGCCGAUCGUCGAUUCGAAAGUCCGAAUAUCGAAACAACUUGGAAGCACGGAGCGCUCCGUUCUUCCAGAAACAUACCAGACGCACUCUAUAUUUACAAACCUUAUAAGAAAUUGAC